ACGCUAGCUACAGGCUUAACACAUGCAAGUCGAGGGGCAGCAUCAUCAAAGCUUGCUUUGAUGGAUGGCGACCGGCGCACGGGUGAGUAACACGUAUCCAACCUGCCGACAACACUGGGAUAGCCUUUCGAAAGAAAGAUUAAUACCGGAUGGCAUAGUUUUCCCGCAUGGGAUAAUUAUUAAAGAAUUUCGGUUGUCGAUGGGGAUGCGUUCCAUUAGGCAGUUGGCGGGGUAACGGCCCACCAAACCAACGAUGGAUAGGGGUUCUGAGAGGAAGGUCCCCCACAUUGGAACUGAGACACGGUCCAAACUCCUACGGGAGGCAGCAGUGAGGAAUAUUGGUCAAUGGACGAGAGUCUGAACCAGCCAAGUAGCGUGAAGGAUGACUGCCCUAUGGGUUGUAAACUUCUUUUAUACGGGAAUAAAGUGAGCCACGUGUGGCUUUUUGUAUGUACCGUAUGAAUAAGGAUCGGCUAACUCCGUGCCAGCAGCCGCGGUAAUACGGAGGAUCCGAGCGUUAUCCGGAUUUAUUGGGUUUAAAGGGAGCGUAGGCGGGUUGUUAAGUCAGUUGUGAAAGUUUGCGGCUCAACCGUAAAAUUGCAGUUGAUACUGGCGACCUUGAGUGCAACAGAGGUAGGCGGAAUUCGUGGUGUAGCGGUGAAAUGCUUAGAUAUCACGAAGAACUCCGAUUGCGAAGGCAGCUUACUGGAUUGUAACUGACGCUGAUGCUCGAAAGUGUGGGUAUCAAACAGGAUUAGAUACCCUGGUAGUCCACACAGUAAACGAUGAAUACUCGCUGGUGGCGAUAUACAGUCAGCGGCCAAGCGAAAGCAUUAAGUAUUCCACCUGGGGAGUACGCCGGCAACGGUGAAACUCAAAGGAAUUGACGGGGGCCCGCACAAGCGGAGGAACAUGUGGUUUAAUUCGAUGAUACGCGAGGAACCUUACCCGGGCUUAAAUUGCAACUGACUGAACCGGAAACGGUUCUUUCUUCGGACAGUUGUGAAGGUGCUGCAUGGUUGUCGUCAGCUCGUGCCGUGAGGUGUCGGCUUAAGUGCCAUAACGAGCGCAACCCUUACGGGUAGUUACCAUCAGGUUAUGCUGGGGACUCUACCCGGACUGCCGUCGUAAGAUGUGAGGAAGGUGGGGAUGACGUCAAAUCAGCACGGCCCUUACGUCCGGGGCUACACACGUGUUACAAUGGGGGGUACAGAAGGCAGCUACACGGCGACGUGGUGCUAAUCCCGAAAGCCUCUCUCAGUUCGGAUUGGAGUCUGCAACCCGACUCCAUGAAGCUGGAUUCGCUAGUAAUCGCGCAUCAGCCACGGCGCGGUGAAUACGUUCCCGGGCCUUGUACACACCGCCCGUCAAGCCAUGAAAGCCGGGGGUACCUGAAGUGCGUAACCGCGAGGAGCGCCCUAGGGUAAAACUGGUGACUGG
rnacentral:rRNA from 1 species